rnacentral:rRNA from 1 species
UCGAGGAUCUUCGGCAAUGAGCGCAAGCUUGACCGAGCGACGCCGCGUGUGCGAUGAAGGCCUUCGGGUUGUAAAGCACUGUCGAGGGGGAGAAAAGCCCGCAAGGGUCUGAUCUAUCCCUGGAGGAAGCACGGGCUAAGUUCGUGCCAGCAGCCGCGGUAAGACGAACCGUGCGAACGUUGUUCGGAUUCACUGGGCUUAAAGGGCGCGUAGGCGGAUUGGCAAGUCCGGGGUGAAAUCUUUCAGCUUAACUGGAAAAGUGCCUUGGAUACUGCCAGUCUCGAGGGAGGUAGGGGUCUGCGGAACUUCUGGUGGAGCGGUGAAAUGCGUAGAUAUCAGAAGGAACGCCGGUGGCGAAAGCGGCGGACUGGACCUCUUCUGACGCUGAGGCGCGAAAGCUAGGGGAGCAAACGGGAUUAGAUACCCCCGUAGUCC